CAGACCGCCAGCUAAGGUCCCAAAGUCAUGGUUAAGUGGGAAACGAUGUGGGAAGGCCCAGACAGCCAGGAUGUUGGCUUAGAAGCAGCCAUCAUUUAAAGAAAGCGUAAUAGCUCACUGGUCGAGUCGGCCUGCGCGGAAGAUGUAACGGGGCUAAACCAUGCACCGAAGCUGCGGCAGCGACGCUUAUGCGUUGUUGGGUAGGGGAGCGUUCUGUAAGCCUGUGAAGGUGUGCUGUGAGGUAUGCUGGAGGUAUCAGAAGUGCGAAUGCUGACAUAAGUAACGAUAAAGCGGGUGAAAAGCCCGCUCGCCGGAAGACCAAGGGUUCCUGUCCAACGUUAAUCGGGGCAGGGUGAGUCGACCCCUAAGGCGAGGCCGAAAGGCGUAGUCGAUGGGAAACAGGUUAAUAUUCCUGUACUUGGUGUUACUGCGAAGGGGGGACGGAGAAGGCUAUGUUGGCCGGGCGACGGUUGUCCCGGUUUAAGCGUGUAGGCUGGUUUUCCAGGCAAAUCCGGAAAAUCAAGGCCGAGGCGUGAUGACGAGGCACUACGGUGCUGAAGCAACAAAUGCCCUGCUUCCAGGAAAAGCCUCUAAGCAUCAGGUAACAUCAAAUCGUACCCCAAACCGACACAGGUGGUCAGGUAGAGAAUACCAAGGCGCUUGAGAGAACUCGGGUGAAGGAACUAGGCAAAAUGGUGCCGUAACUUCGGGAGAAGGCACGCUGAUACGUAGGUGAAGCGACUUGCUCGUGGAGCUGAAAUCAGUCGAAGAUACCAGCUGGCUGCAACUGUUUAUUAAAAACACAGCACUGUGCAAACACGAAAGUGGACGUAUACGGUGUGACGCCUGCCCGGUGCCGGAAGGUUAAUUGAUGGGGUUAGCGCAAGCGAAGCUCUUGAUCGAAGCCCCGGUAAACGGCGGCCGUAACUAUAACGGUCCUAAGGUAGCGAAAUUCCUUGUCGGGUAAGUUCCGACCUGCACGAAUGGCGUAAUGAUGGCCAGGCUGUCUCCACCCGAGACUCAGUGAAAUUGAACUCGCUGUGAAGAUGCAGUGUACCCGCGGCAAGACGGAAAGACCCCGUGAACCUUUACUAUAGCUUGACACUGAACAUUGAGCCUUGAUGUGUAGGAUAGGUGGGAGGCUUUGAAGUGUGGACGCCAGUCUGCAUGGAGCCGACCUUGAAAUACCACCCUUUAAUGUUUGAUGUUCUAACGUGGACCCGUGAUCCGGGUUGCGGACAGUGUCUGGUGGGUAGUUUGACUGGGGCGGUCUCCUCCUAAAGAGUAACGGAGGAGCACGAAGGUUGGCUAAUCCUGGUCGGACAUCAGGAGGUUAGUGCAAUGGCAUAAGCCAGCUUGACUGCGAGCGUGACGGCGCGAGCAGGUGCGAAAGCAGGUCAUAGUGAUCCGGUGGUUCUGAAUGGAAGGGCCAUCGCUCAACGGAUAAAAGGUACUCCGGGGAUAACAGGCUGAUACCGCCCAAGAGUUCAUAUCGACGGCGGUGUUUGGCACCUCGAUGUCGGCUCAUCACAUCCUGGGGCUGAAGUAGGUCCCAAGGGUAUGGCUGUUCGCCAUUUAAAGUGGUACGCGAGCUGGGUUUAGAACGUCGUGAGACAGUUCGGUCCCUAUCUGCCGUGGGCGCUGGAGAACUGAGGGGGGCUGCUCCUAGUACGAGAGGACCGGAGUGGACGCAUCACUGGUGUUCGGGUUGUCAUGCCAAUGGCACUGCCCGGUAGCUAAAUGCGGAAGAGAUAAGUGCUGAAAGCAUCUAAGCACGAAACUUGCCCCGAGAUGAGUUCUCCCUGACCCUUUAAGGGUCCUGAAGGAACGUUGAAGACGACGACGUUGAUAGGCCGGGUGUGUAAGCGCAGCGAUGCGUUGAGCUAACCGGUACUAAUGAACCGUGAGGCUUAACCUUACAACGCCGAAG
rnacentral:rRNA from 1 species